ACAGGAGUGGACAAGGACACGGAGACACACAUGCCCACGAGACCUUCCAGCACGGAGGAGGCUGGGCAGGAAAGCACAAAACAGGCAGCAACUCAUUUAGCCACCACUCUCCUCUUCAGAGCCACGUUGCUGCACAAAACAAAACCCAGCUCCGACACCCCAGAUGGGCACGUCCAGGGAU
rnacentral:lncRNA from 1 species